UUGGAGGGCAAGUCUGGUGCCAGCAGCCGCGGUAAUUCCAGCUCCAAUAGCGUAUAUUAAAGUUGUUGCAGUUAAAAAGCUCGUAGUUGAAUUUCGAGAUCAAUUUGUCGGUCGUGCCUCGGUAUGUACUGGCAUUAUUGAUUUCUCCCUUCUGAAGAACCGCGAUGUCAUUAAUUUGGUGUCGUGGGGAAUCAGGACUGUUACUUUGAAAAAAUUAGAGUGUUUAAAGCAGGCGCACGCUUGAAUACAUUAGCAUGGAAUAAUGAAAUAGGACGUUUGAUUCUAUUUUGUUGGUUUCUAGGAUCGACGUAAUGAUUAAUAGGGAUAGUUGGGGGCAUUAGUAUUCAAUUGUCAGAGGUGAAAUUCUUGGAUUUAUUGAAGACUAACUACUGCGAAAGCAUUGCCAAGGAUGUUUUCAUUAAUCAAGAACGAAAGUUAGGGGAUCGAAGACGAUCAGAUACCGUCGUAGUCUUAACCAUAAACUAUGCCGACUAGGGAUCGGGUGAUGUUAAUUUUUUAAUGACUCAUUCGGCGCCUUACGGGAAAC
rnacentral:rRNA from 1 species